GCCUAAUACAUGCAAGUCGAACGCUUUUUCUUUCACCGGAGCUUGCUCCACCGAAAGAAAAAGAGUGGCGAACGGGUGAGUAACACGUGGGUAACCUGCCCAUCAGAAGGGGAUAACACUUGGAAACAGGUGCUAAUACCGUAUAACAAGUAAAACCGCAUGGUUUUACUUUGAAAGGCGCUUUUGCGUCACUGAUGGAUGGACCCGCGGUGCAUUAGCUAGUUGGUGAGGUAACGGCUCACCAAGGCAACGAUGCAUAGCCGACCUGAGAGGGUGAUCGGCCACAUUGGGACUGAGACACGGCCCAAACUCCUACGGGAGGCAGCAGUAGGGAAUCUUCGGCAAUGGACGAAAGUCUGACCGAGCAACGCCGCGUGAGUGAAGAAGGUUUUCGGAUCGUAAAACUCUGUUGUUAGAGAAGAACAAGGAUGAGAGUAAAAUGUUCAUCCCUUGACGGUAUCUAACCAGAAAGCCACGGCUAACUACGUGCCAGCAGCCGCGGUAAUACGUAGGUGGCAAGCGUUGUCCGGAUUUAUUGGGCGUAAAGCGAGCGCAGGCGGUUUCUUAAGUCUGAUGUGAAAGCCCCCGGCUCAACCGGGGAGGGUCAUUGGAAACUGGGAAACUUGAGUGCAGAAGAGGAGAGUGGAAUUCCAUGUGUAGCGGUGAAAUGCGUAGAUAUAUGGAGGAACACCAGUGGCGAAGGCGGCUCUCUGGUCUGUAACUGACGCUGAGGCUCGAAAGCGUGGGGAGCAAACAGGAUUAGAUACCCUGGUAGUCCACGCCGUAAACGAUGAGUGCUAAGUGUUGGAGGGUUUCCGCCCUUCAGUGCUGCAGCUAACGCAUUAAGCACUCCGCCUGGGGAGUACGACCGCAAGGUUGAAACUCAAAGGAAUUGACGGGGGCCCGCACAAGCGGUGGAGCAUGUGGUUUAAUUCGAAGCAACGCGAAGAACCUUACCAGGUCUUGACAUCCUUUGACCACUCUAGAGAUAGAGCUUCCCCUUCGGGGGCAAAGUGACAGGUGGGUGCAUGGUUGUCGUCAGCUCGUGUCGUGAGAUGUUGGGUUAAGUCCCGCAACGAGCGCAACCCUUUAUUGUUAGUUGCCAUCAUUUAGUUGGGCACU
rnacentral:rRNA from 1 species